GGCUGCAACUCGCCUACAUGAAGUCGGAAUUGCUAGUAAUCGCGGAUCAGCAUGCCGCGGUGAAUACGUUCCCGGGCCUUGUACACACCGCCCGUCACACCAUGGGAGUCGGUAACACCCGAAGCCUGUAGUCUAACCGCAAGGGGGACGCAGUCGAAGGUGGGAUUGAUGACUGGGGUGAAGUCGUAACAAGGUAUC
rnacentral:rRNA from 1 species